UGGGGAAUUUUGGACAAUGGGCGAAAGCCUGAUCCAGCAAUGCCGCGUGUGUGAAGAAGGCCUUCGGGUUGUAAAGCACUUUUGUCCGGAAAGAAAUCCUUGGCUCUAAUACAGUCGGGGGAUGACGGUACCGGAAGAAUAAGCACCGGCUAACUACGUGCCAGCAGCCGUGGUAAUACGUAGGGUGCAAGCGUUAAUCGGAAUUACUGGGCGUAAAGCGUGCGCAGGCGGUUUGCUAAGACCGAUGUGAAAUCCCCGGGCUCAACCUGGGAACUGCAUUGGUGACUGGCAGGCUAGAGUAUGGCAGAGGGGGGUUAGAAUUCCACGUGUAGCAGUGAAAUGCGUAGAGAUGUGGAGGGAUACCGAUGGCGAAGGCAGCCCCCUGGGCAAAUACUGACGCUCAUGCACGAAAGCGUGGGGAGCAAACAGGAUUAGAUACCCUGGUAGUCCACGCCCUAAACGAUGUCAACUAGUUGUUGGGGAUUCAUUUCCUUAGUAACGUAGCUAACGCGUGAAGUUGACCGCCUGGGGAGUAC
rnacentral:rRNA from 1 species